GACGAACGCUGGCGGCGUGCCUAAUACAUGCAAGUCGAACGCAGUGGGGACGGGUGAGUAACACGUGGGUAACCUUCCCAUCAGGGGGGAUAACACGUGGAAACAGGUGCGAAACCGAUACUGAUGGAUGGACCCGCGGUGCAUGAGCUAGUUGGUGAGGUAACGGCUCACAAAGGCCACGAUGCAUAGCCGAGCUGAGAGGGUGAUCGGCCACACUGGGACUGAGACACGGCCCAGACUCCUCCGCGAGGCAGCAGUAGGGAAUCUUCGGCAAUGGACGAAAGUCUGACCGAGCAACGCCGCGUGAGUGAAGAAGGUUUUCGGAUCGUAAAACUCUGUUGUUAGAGAAGCGGUAUCUAACCAGAAAGCCGCGGCUAACUCCGUGCCAGCCGCCGCGGUAAGUC
rnacentral:rRNA from 1 species